UGUCCAGUAGCACCUUAGAGACCAACUAAGUUUGUUCUGGGUAUAAGCUUUUGUGUGCAUGCACAUGAAAGCUUAUACCCAGAACAAACUUAGUUGAUCUCUAAGGUGCUACUGGACA